GGUAACAGCUCAAAUUUGAAAUCUGGGUCUUUCAGGCUCCGAGUUGUAAUUUGUAGAAGAUGCUUUGGGUGCGGUCCCGGUCUAAGUUCCUUGGAACAGGACGUCAUAGAGGGUGAGAAUCCCGUAUGUGAUCGGUGGCUUGCGCCCGUGUAAAGCUCUUUCGACGAGUCGGGUUGUUUGGGAAUGCAGCUCUAAAUGGGUGGUAAAUUUCAUCUAAAGCUAAAUAUUGGCCAGAGACCGAUAGCGCACAAGUAGAGUGAUCGAAAGAUGAAAAGCACUUUGGAAAGAGAGUUAAACAGUACGUGAAAUUGUUGAAAGGGAAGCGCUUGCAACCAGACUUGCGCGGGGUUGAUCAUCCGGGGUUCUCCCCGGUGCACUCGGCCUCGCUCAGGCCAGCAUCGGUUUCGGUGGUUGGAUAAAGGCCUUGGGAAUGUGACUUCUUUCGGGGAGUGUUAUAGCCCUCGGUGCAAUGCAGCCUACCGGGACCGAGGACCGCGCUUCGGCUAGGAUGCUGGCGUAAUGGUUGUAAGCGACCCGUCUUGAAACACGGACCAAGGAGUCUAACAUCUAUGCGAGUGUUUGGGCGUCAAACCCAUACGCGUAAUGAAAGUGAACGGAGGUGAGAACCCUUAAGGGUGCAUCAUCGACCGAUCCUGAUGUCUUCGGAUGGAUUUGAGUAAGAGCAUAGCUGUUGGGACCCGAAAGAUGGUGAACUAUGCCUGAAUAGGGUGAAGCCAGAGGAAACUCUGGUGGAGGCUCGCAGCGGUUCUGACGUGCAAAUCGAUCGUCAAAUUUG
rnacentral:rRNA from 1 species